GCCGGUGUGGCGGAAUGGCAGACGCGCGCGACUCAAAAUCGCGUGAGGUUACACUCGUAUCGGUUCAACUCCGAUCACCGGCA
rnacentral:tRNA from 1 species